AGUAACGCGUGAGGAACCUGCCUCAAAGAGGGGACAACAGUUGGAAACGACUGCUAAUACCGCAUAAGCCCACGGCUCGGCAUCGAGCAGAGGAAAAGGAGCAAUCCGCUUUGAGAUGGCCUCGCGUCCGAUUAGCUAGUUGGUGAGGUAAUGGCCCACCAAGGCGACGAUCGGUAGCCGGACUGAGAGGUUGAACGGCCACAUUGGGACUGAGACACGGCCCAG
rnacentral:rRNA from 1 species